UGUAUUUAUUAGAUAAAAAACCAAUGCCCUUCGGGGCUUUUUGGUGAUUCAUGAUAACUUUACGGAUCGCAUAGCCUUGCGCUGGCGACGGUUCAUUCAAAUUUCUGCCCUAUCAACUUUCGAUGGUAAGGUAUUGGCUUACCAUGGUUUCAACGGGUAACGGGGAAUUAGGGUUCGAUUCCGGAGAGGGAGCCUGAGAAACGGCUACCACAUCCAAGGAAGGCAGCAGGCGCGCAAAUUACCCAAUCCCGACACGGGGAGGUAGUGACAAUAAAUACUGAUACAGGGCUCUUUUGGGUCUUGUAAUUGGAAUGAGUACAAUUUAAACCUCUUAACGAGGAACAAUUGGAGGGCAAGUCUGGUGCCAGCAGCCGCGGUAAUUCCAGCUCCAAUAGCGUAUAUUAAAGUUGUUGUGGUUAAAAAGCUCGUAGUUGAACCUUGGGCCUGGCCGUCCGGUCCGCCUCACCGCGUGCACUCGUCCGGCCGGGCCUUCCUUCUGAAGAACCUCAUGCCCUUCACUGGGCGUGCUGGGGAACCAGG
rnacentral:rRNA from 1 species